rnacentral:siRNA from 1 species
GGCCACGGACAUAGCAUCAUCGGC